UUGAUCCUGGCUCAGGAUGAACGCUGGCGGGGCGCCUAAUGCAUGCAAGUCGAGCGACGCACACUCAGUCCGUAAGGACAGGGUAUGACGGAGCGGCGAACGGGGGAGUAACACGUGAGCAACCUGCCCCACAGAUCGGGAUAGCCCAGGGAAACCUGGAUUAAUACCGAAUAUUUUCCUUGGACCACAUGGUCCGUUGAGGAAAUGCCUUUUUGCUGUGGGAUGGGCUCGCGACUUAUCAGUUAGUUGGGGGGGUAACGGCCUACCAAGACAAUGACGAGUAGCUGGUCUGAGAGGACGAUCAGCCACACUGGAACUGAGACACGGUCCAGACUCCUACGGGAGGCAGCAGCAGGGAAUCUUGCGCAAUGGACGAAAGUCUGACGCAGCGACACCGCGUGGGGGAUGAAGGCCUUCGGGUUUUAAACCCCUUUUAGGAGGGAAGAAAUUGACGGUACCUCCAGAAAAAGGACCGGCCAACUACGUGCCAGCAGCCGCGGUAAUACGUAGGGUCCGAGCGUUAUCCGGAAUCAUUGGGCGUAAAGAGCUCGUAGGCGGUUCAGCAAGUCGGCUGUGAAAGUUCGAGGCUCAACCUCGAAAUUGCAGUCGAUACUGCUGUGACUUGAAUUCGGUAGAGGAGAAUGGAAUUCCCGGGGUAGCGGGGAAAUGCGCAGAUAUCGGGAGGAACACCAGUGGCGAAGGCGGUUUUCUGGGCCGAUAUUGACGCUGAGGAGCGAAAGCGUGGGGAGCAAACAGGGUUAGAUACCCUGGUAGUCCACGCCGUAAACGUUGGAUGCUAGGGGUGGCGGUCUACCAACGACUGCCGUGCCGAAGC
rnacentral:rRNA from 1 species